rnacentral:rRNA from 1 species
CGGGAAGAAGGCCUUCGGGUUGUAAACCGCUUUGGUCGGAAAGAAAAGGCGCUACCCUAAUACGGGGCGUUCUUGACGGUACCGGCAGAAUAAAGCACCCGGCUAACUACGUGC